AUUGAACGCUGGCGGCAGGCCUAACACAUGCAAGUCGAGCGGAUGAAGGGAGCUUGCUCCUGGAUUCAGCGGCGGACGGGUGAGUAAUGCCUAGGAAUCUGCCUGGUAGUGGGGGAUAACGUCCGGAAAAGGGCGCUAAUACCACGUACGUCCUGAGGGAGAAAGUGGGGGGUCUUGGGACCUCCUCGGCGAGUGUGGGCCUAGUCGGGGUUAGUCAGUUGGUGGGGUAAAGACCUACUAAGCCGAGCUUCGGUAACUGGUCUGAGAGGGUGGUCAGUCACACUGGAACUGAGACAGGGUCCAGACUCCUACGGGAGGCAGCAGUGGGGAAUAUUGGACAAUGGGCGAAAGCCUGAUCCAGCCAUGCCGCGUGUGUGAAGAAGGUCUUCGGAUUGUAAAGCACUUUAAGUUGGGAGGAAGGGCAGUAAGUUAAUACCUUGCUGUUUUGACGUUACCAACAGAAUAAGCACCGGCUAACUUCGUG
rnacentral:rRNA from 1 species